GUAAUGAAAAAGGAUUGCUUACCAAAUAUUUACUUACUAGUUCUGUCUAUCAGGUUAUUGCCGAUGAGCUGGAAGACAAGUGACAUGUUAACACAAUGGUCCAAGUAAUUUAUGCUGAAUUACAAUGGACAACCUUUUUGCUAUAGUAAUUGCAAUAACAUGUAAACAAAAUGGAUAAAGCUGCUCCACCCACUGACAAAGCACAACCUUCCAUCUGCGAAGUGUUGAAGUAUUUUCAAUUUCUUCAGUCUUAACUGCCAAUGAAGCUUUCUGCAAAUGGUUCCAGGUAAAUAAUCCAGUUCUACUUGGAUUACAAUUUGGUGCAAAAUCCAAACAAAAUGGG